rnacentral:lncRNA from 1 species
GGGAAACUUGUUUCAGAGUUGAGGCUUGAGCUGAGAGCUAUUAUUGGCUGGCAGACAAAGAGGUGGGGGUGGAAAAGUUGCUAGGAGAAACAAGGCCCUGAGGCAACAUUAGAUGAACUUUCAGCAGGACUGGCUCUGUUCCGUUUGCUUUGUUUUUGUAUAAUCGGGUUGCUGAAUGCACGUAUAACAAAAGGAAACCUUCAUCUGUGGCAGAUUUAAAGAUAAGAAGAGCCCUGAAAAAACCCAACACGAUUUCCUUGGAAUUCAGUGAGCUCCCAGCAUCAGUUCAGGCAGAAACCAGAAGCCUACUGGCCGAGGCUUGCAAGGGAUUCCUUGUUUGGGAGGGAUGUUAGACCAAGUGAUCACUCACAACUCUUCCAGGGAAAUAUAUAUAGGAAGAGAAAAAGGAGGCCACAGUGAACACCCACAAAGAAUAAGACUGUAGGCCUGAAUAAUACCCCAAAGAAAACAAGAUUGUUGCAUAUUUGAACAGAUGUUUUAAAAAUUUAUUACAAAAAAAGGCAUCUAUUAAAUAAAAUUUUAAAUAUGGAAGUUGUAAAAACAUCAGCUUUAAUUAUCAUGUAAAUAACUAGUUAUGUUUUUAUGUUUGUUUCUUCUAGAGUUCUUAUGCAUCUACAUUUAAAUUUUAAAAUUUGUGAGUACACUGCUGCCCAAAUGAGGUCCUUAUAGGACAGCUUGUGGAAGUAGAUUAUUCCCUUCUACUAUGUGGAUUCCAGGAAUUGAACUCAGGUCACCAGGCUUGGCAGCAAGCACCCCUAUCCACUUAGCCAUCUCACCAGUGCCAUGUAAAUGUGGUGUCAUUGUGAUAUUUCUGUAGGAGCUGUUUUGAACCUGCAAUCAUUCAUUGCUAGAUAGAUUGGAGUAUCUAACUUGUUGGGCCAGAAACUUCGUUCCCUAGAGCUUUGAUACCUGUGUCUUAGCUUUUUUUUUUUUUUAUGUU